rnacentral:rRNA from 1 species
GACUACAUGAAGCUGGAAUCGCUAGUAAUCGCAGGUCAGCAUACUGCGGUGAAUACGUUCCCGGGUCUUGUACACACCGCCCGUCACACCAUGGGAGCCGGAAAUGCCCGAAGCCAGUGACCCAACCUCAGGGAGGGAGCUGUCGAAGGUGGAGCCGGUAACUGGGGUGAAGUCGUAACAAGGUAAC